rnacentral:rRNA from 1 species
GAUGAACGCUAGCGGCAGGCCUAAUACAUGCAAGUCGAACGGUGUAUUCGUACAUAGUGGCGCACGGUUGCGUAACACGUAUGCAACCUACCUUACAUUGGGGGAUAGCCUUUCGAAAGGGAGAUUAAUACCGCAUAAGACAGUAGCUGGGCAUCCAGCAGCUGUUAAAGAUUUAUCUAUGUAAGCUGGGCAUGCGUACAAUUAGCUAGUUGGUGAGGUAACGGCUCAGCAAGGCAAUGAUUGGUAGGGGAACGGAGAGGUCAAUCCCCCACACUGGCACUGAGACACGGGCCAGACUCCUACGGGAGGCAGCAGUAGGGAAUAUUGGGCAAUGGACGCAAGUCUGACCCAGCCAUGCCGCGUGCAGGAUGAAGGCGUUAUGCGUUGUAAACUGCUUUUAUACAGGAAGAAACUACUCUUGCGAGAGGAAUUGACGGUACUGUAUGAAUAAGCACCGGCUCACUCCGUGCCAGCCGCCGCCGUAAAAC